AUCUAUAUCACAAAAACACUCAAAUUUUAUAUAAAACAUUGCUUAGGUAGAUUCUCACUAAUAACUUAAUUUUAUAUCAUUAACUCGGUGUAUCACUUGCGAAAUCAUACAAAAUGACUCCCAAAUAUACAAAAUUACAGGGAAAAUGUCAAAUAUUUUGAAAAUUUGAGGGACCAAAAUCAUAAUCAUAAUAUCACAAAAUAUAGAGACUAAAACUGC
rnacentral:lncRNA from 1 species